CACGUAGGGGCCAAGCGUUGUCCGGAUUUAUUGGGCGUAAAGAGCUCGUAGGCGGUGUGUCGCGUCGGCCGUGAAAACCUGCAGCUUAACUGUGGGCGUGCGGUCGAUACGGGCAUCACUGGAGUUCGGCAGGGGAGACUGGAAUUCCUGGUGUAGCGGUGAAAUGCGCAGAUAUCAGGAGGAACACCGGUGGCGAAGGCGGGUCUCUGGGCCGAUACUGACGCUGAGGAGCGAAAGCGUGGGGAGCGAACAGG
rnacentral:rRNA from 1 species